GCCCAGGUGGUGGAAUUGGUAGACACACAGGACUUAAAAUCCUGUGUCCGUAAGGACGUGCGGGUUCGACCCCCGCUCUGGGUA
rnacentral:tRNA from 1 species